rfam:Bacillus sp. 2_A_57_CT2 genomic scaffold supercont1.1, whole genome shotgun sequence.
AGCCCUUUUAAAUGCAGUCCAGAGAGGCUGGCAAAGGGGAACUCAGCAGAAGCAGUCUGUCUUUUGCUGUGCUCUUAUACCCUCUUUGCGGAUCUGGCAAGGAGGGUUUUUUAA